rnacentral:piRNA from 1 species
UGAGACCACUGGUCGGUGCGGCCUUCC